rnacentral:misc_RNA from 1 species
GAUGAAGAACGUAGCGAAAUGUGAUACUUGGUGUGAAUUGCAGAAUCCCGUGAACCAUCGAGUCUUUGAACGCAAGUUGCGCCCGAAGCCAUUAGGCCGAGGGCACGCCUGCCUGGGCGUCACACGUCGUUGCCCCCCCAUCUACUCCUUCGGGAUUGCGGGGGGCGGAUGAUGGCCUCUCGUGCGCCUCGUCGCGCGGUUGGCCUAAAUGCCAAGUCCUCGGCGACGCACGCCACGACAAUCGGUGGUUGCGAAACCUCGGUUGCCUGUCGUGUGCGGUCGUCGCGCAUCGAGGGCUCGAAAAAAUUGCCGGGCUUCGGCUCGACUUUCAACGCGACCCCAGGUCAGGCGGGGUUACCCGCUGAAUUUAAGCAUAUCAAUAAGCGGAGGA